UGGCGGACGGGUGAGUAACGCGUGGGUAACCUGCCUCACACAGGGGGAUAACAGUUGGAAACGACCGCUAAUACCGCAUAACCCGCUAGGGCCGCAUGGCCCGGACGGAAAAGAUUUAUCGGUGUGAGAUGGACCCGCGCUGGAUUAGCUAGUUGGCAGGGUAACGGCCUACCAAGGCGACGAUCCAUAGCCGGCCUGAGAGGGUGAACGGCCACAUUGGGACUGAGACACGGCCCAA
rnacentral:rRNA from 1 species